AUGCCUGGUUUAUUUUAUUUAUGACUGGCCUCUGCUUAAAAGGAAACCAGCAUUAUCAGUUCCAGCACCGCCAGGUCAGAUGAGUAAAUGAAAGAGAAGGGUUUCGUUUAUGGCUGGGAGCUCGAGUUUGCUCUUAUAAGGGCAUCCCACCAGGCACUGCCUGCUGCCACUUUGCUGCUGCUCCUGGCAGGGAUGGCCAGGCCCAGCCACAAACUGAACCAGGGUCUUGCAGAGGUGGAAGCCCUGAGGCAGAGAGUGGCUGAGAUCAGGUUGUACUUACUCCUCCUUCUUUGGCUUGGGGCAGCCACCUGUGCCACAGCACAGCAUCCCUGCAGCCAGGAUCCCAGCGGGUCCCUGCCCACACCAGUGCACUGUUAUCCUGCCAGGCUUGCUGACCCUGGCUGUGCUUUCCUGCUCAAUUCCCCAGGGAGAAGGUGGUAGAACCACAUCAGAGUAGGUCACUUUGCCCUCACCAGUGACUCCACUAAACUCAGUAGUCUGAAAAUAGGUUUUAAAUAAAACCCAGGCAGUUUUGAAUCCAGCUCAGACAUACCUGGAAAGGUCCUUGUCAGAGAGCUCCAGGGCAGUUGCAGUUUGUACCUAGAAAUUGGGUUUCCUUGAAAUAUUUCCAUCCCCUGGCAAGAGGAAGCAGCCACAGGAAAGGAGUGCUGGGUUUGGGGCAUGGCUGGUGCUGAUCGUCACUCCUGCACGUCAGGUGCAGGCAGAAGGUAAACACACAACCUGGCACAGGCUCUUGUUUAAUGCCUGGGGUUUUUAGAGCCAAUAUUUAAUGAUCCGUAAAUAAUUGCCCUGUUGUAUAUGCAGGGACCUGAUUUAUCCUGCUCCUUGAUGACAUCUUCCAAACUCCUCAGGGAGACAGCUGUCUCCCUCUUCCUGGUGAUUGAUGGAGAAGGAGGAGAGCUGGCACUUGGCCCUGUCGUGCUCCUCAGAGUUGGCGUGUGGGUGUAUUGCUUGUCCCUCCACAAUGGCUCAGAGCUACAGCAAUGACAGAUCCUCAGGGGGAGGGAGGUUAUGUGUGAAUUCUCCCUGCUCAUUCUUGAGUCCCUGUUCCUGAGGAGCAGCAUCAGCAUUGUCAAAUCCCCCUUCACUCCCCAUUGCCAACUCUUGCCAGUUCAGAAGCGCUUCCCAGUGUCUUCCCAGGUGAGGUUUGCCUCUGGGAGCCCUUCCUCCUCAGUUUGAGCAGCUGUUAUUCCAUGUUGAAUGAUUUACCACCCCAAAGCAGAGAGGGAGGAGGCGGCACAGCACUGGAGGGGCUGCAGCUUGGCCGUGUGCUCUGCUCCUGUGCAAGUAACAGCACAACCAUCUCCUGCUGAUGCUUCCCCUGCAAGAUCUGUGCCAGCCCUUGGCCAGGGAGCCCACGUGGCAACAGGCCUGAGCACGGCACAGGCGGCCACGCUCCACUAUCAAAGCCUGAGCUGCUGCCCGGGAGCGGCGCGUGGGCUGAGCCGCAGUCGUGCGCCCGCAGGAGGGUUUGGAGAAGAUGCAGAGGAGA
rnacentral:lncRNA from 1 species